ACUAGCUUGAAGGUUGGGCUUAUAUUUAUGUGUUCAAUACGACCAGUUCGUCCUGUAAACAUAAGUAAUACCGGCAUUUUCCAGCUCCACCGCCGUUAAGGCUUUAAUUUUUAUUUACAGGAUUUAUAUUAUGUCUCAAGUUACUGGUGUUGUUAAGUGGUUCAAUUCUGACAAAGGUUUCGGAUUCAUUGAACAAGAAUCAGGUCCAGAUGUAUUCGUACACUUCCGUGCGAUUAACUCUGACGGUUUCAAAACUCUUGACGAAGGUCAAAAAGUGUCUUUCACUGUGACUCAAGGUCAAAAAGGUCCACAAGCUGAAAACGUAACCAUCAUUGGUUAAUUUUCAGUGCAAUUAGCCAAGAGCUAAUCGCAAUGGAUUUAAAGAGCUGUGGUUUUCCAUAGCUCUUUUUG
rnacentral:sRNA from 1 species